UCUUCUCCUCCUCCUUCUUUUCCUCUUCCUCUUCUUUCCUCUCCUCCUUCUCUUCCACCUUUUCUUCAUAAGAUGAUCUCACAUGCCAUGCUUUCCCACAUGUAAUUUUUCUAUUAUAUUUUACUACUGUUUUCUGGGAAAAUUUAUUUGUUUAUUCAUUUGCCAUUUGACUGGUUCCUUACUUCAAUAAUUAGCUAAUUUUGGUUCUUUUUGAGUUGUCUAGACAGAUAAUAUUACCCAUAGACAAUGAAUUUUCUGUUCCUCCUACUGCCUAAAAAAAUGUAACUUCUUGAUUUUUUUUCCCUGUCUUACUUCAAGGCAAGAAACACCAUGCUAUUUAAAGUAUUCCUUAUUGGAAGUGCCUCUAACAUUUUGCUAGUGAGAACGCAAUCCCAAACACAUUGUGCUUUUGGUCAGUUCUGGUGUUGGAUAUCCCGCCCCCAUUUAACUUUAAAUCUCCCUUCCUGAGCCUUCUGCUUGUCAGCCCUCACACUGGAAGCCUCCUGGGACAUUUUUCCAAAUAUUGAAUAAGUGUGACCCCUUUUCUACUUGAGUGUUCCCUGGAUAUACAGACAUCUCCUGCAAGUAUCAUCCCUUCCUCUUCUCAUGCAUGAAUACCCAUUGUCCCCUGGCAGUAGCGGUCUCCUUUAAUUCUCAGACAGCAAAGUUCUGAGCUGCUCUUGUUUUCUUUCAUGUGACAACACCAGGCUAUUUUCUGCCAACUGAAAAGUUAGUGUCUUUGCAUGAGAUUUUUUAUAUUUUCACAUUUUAAGGAAAUGCUAAACUAUUUUUCUCACAUAGAAAUUAUCAUUUCAUUUGAAUUUGCUGACUUUUUGCCAGUGGGAAGUAAAAAUAACCCAGUUUUGCAUAUGCCAAGCAAAAAGAAUUGGUUACAUGGGUUUAGGUUGGUUAAAACAAUAACCGAGAAGAGGCUGAGGGAGGGAAAAGCCUCCUACACCAUCAGCGUCUGACAAAGCUGGGGUACCUAUUUCAGGGCAGGCUGGUGGAUGCCUCCUGAGUGGGUGGGGGCCUAAUGAUGGGGGUUCCUUGAGCAUGUCACGGUGUCACUCUCUGCCUGCAUAUCUUCACCUACAAAUUGUGAGAUAAUGCAGGAACUCCAAUUAAGCGUUUAGUUUGACACAUGUCACCCAGCACACACUUACUACAGUGACUGUUAGGACUAUUGAAUUUGAAGGCAGAAACAUGGAUGGUAUUUUAGUCAACAAAUAGAAAGUGAAGCUCCUUCUCCACCAUGACUCCUCCCUUCAUAGAGCCAAUUCCUCAGAUAUUCAAGAGUUUUACGAUUUAGGCAAUAGAAAGAGAAGUAGUGGCAGUUCAGGUUAAACUUCUACCCAACGUAGAAGGAACAGGUAGUUUUAUCCCUUCUCUACUUCCUGUCAGGUUUCCUUGGACCUAACUUGUUGUUUCACACUACCAGGACAAGCCGUUUUUUGCUCAUGAAGACCCAGCUUUUCUCCAAGGAAGACAUUUUGAUACUGGCGGUCUAUUAAAUCACUGUGCUCAUGUGCUCAGAGUUUAAGAAACUUGUCAGCAUGUCUUAAUUUCUCCAAUUUGUUUGCCCAGGGAAACACCCCUAUUAGUAUGAAACUUAGACCCUGAGAAAGGAUAUGAACUUUUUUCUGUCUUUCCCUACACAAAGACUGAAAUCUACUUUAAAAAAAUAUGGUGGGAGGUAACUGUAUUAUUAUUGUUUAAAAUUAAUUAUCCUUUGCUCCAUAUUUUACCUUGUUUAUUUUAUCUGUCCAGCUUUCCCGGAGGGGCAGACUCGAGGCCCCCAUUUGGUUUUUAUUAGUGUAAUCAGUUAAUAGCUGUUCUAUAACGCUUUACUUAUUGUGUUAAUUUUCUCUAGUUAUGUCCAGAGGCAGUUUCCUGGAAGACCACAUUAAAAAAACAAAACAAAACAAAACAACCCCAAAAUCCCCCUAGCUUCUUCUUUAAUGGCUUUGGUUACCACUUACAGCCUCAGCUUGGUCCACCAAGGUACUGAAAAUACAUCUAAACUGUGGCUAGUAUUUUAAAUGUAUAUCUGUGUAUAAAUGUAUGAAUGUGUAGCCUAUGUCAACCCUAAUGUCUGCAGAGACAUCAGUACAAUCUAUCAGCUCCUUGAACUCACUCAGUUACAUGCAAAUCCUUUUCACAGCUGGGGCCUGGGACAAGAGUGUCCACUGCCACUUAGAGGUUUUCAUGGGAAUGUACCCCAUGUGAGUUUUGAUGUUUACAGGACUAGUCCUUGAAUAUAAAUGAGCUUCAUAGCAGGCUACAUUGACAAACUUCCCUGUGUGCAAUAGAUUAUACCCUCCCAUGGCUUACAUCCUGAAUUAGAUAGAAAUCAUCUUCAGAGUUAACACCACGCAUUAGGAGCAGGCUGGACCAGCUCUCUGGAUGGCAAGGAUCUCAGCUGAGUACCUUCACUGCCUCUGGUUCUGAUUGCUCUUUGUAGUGGCCCUUGGGAAAGAAUCCUUUGCAGAUGAUGGGUCUACAUCACACGCUUAUGGUUUGCUGUUCAGUCUCUGGCAAUGAUCAGGGGUCCACACAAAACAAGUUUUCAUUAAGGCUUUAAAGAAGUCUUUAUGUGACGUGCUGGCUAUGAAAACUGACCCAUGUUUUAUUCCUAUUUUGGAACAUUUGUACGCACAUAAUGAUCUGUGUUCCGGAUGGGACUCGAGUCUAAAGGGAGUUUGGUUUGUUUUUUGUACACCUUGGACCACAUAUUUACCACAGCUGCCUUUCCUUUGUGACUUGCCACAUGAAAUUAAGUGUAGGACUUUUCACCUGUGGCAUCACAUCAGCGCUCAAAACGUUUUGGGGUGUGGAGCAAUCCAGACUUUGGAUUUUGAGUUAUACAGGUCCAGCCUGAAGUAAAUCUGGGCUGAAGUUAAAUACAAAGUAAGAUUCUAGGUUAAGAACUGUGCUGACUAGUUACUUGUUAGUUUGACACAAGCUGUACUCAUCGUGGAAGACAGAGCUUCACUUGGGGGAAACGUCUCCAUCUUAUUCACUUGUCAGCAAGUCUGUAGGGCAUUCUCUUGAUCAAUGAUUGAUGUAGGAGGGCCCAGUCCACUGUGGGUGGUGUCACCUCUAGGCAAGUGGUCCUAGGCUGUACAAAACGCAACCUCAGGGGCUGGAGAGGUAGCUCGGCAGUUUAGUGAAUUUGUUGCUUUUGCAGAGGACCCAGGUUUAACUUCUAUCACUCACAUGGUGGCUCACAGCUUCAGGGCAUCUAGCGCCCUCUACUGAUCUCUUCAGACACCAGGCACAUGCGUGGUGCAUAUACAUACAUGUAGGUAAAGCAGCUAGCCAGUAAGCAGCAUUCCUCCAUAGCCUCUGCUUCAGUUCCUGCCUCCAGGCUCCUGCUCAGAAUUGUCUCAGUGUGUGACUUGGGCACAUAAACCAAAUAAACCUUUUCCUCCCUAAGUUGUUCUGGUCAUGGUGUUUUAUCACAGCAAUAGAAACCUGACCAGAACUGUUGCAAGUAAUGCCUGUGAGAGAAGAGGAACAGAACAUGGGACUAUAAAUGACAGGGAAGAGCUGUAUGCCUGGGCAAGUCACUUCUUUCUCAAUCUUUUUCCUUCCUUUUUCCACAUGAGGACCCUGGGGAAGAACUCCCAAAGAGACUUACUUUUACGGAAGCCUGUGAUCCUUUAAGAAUGACCAACAGUGCAAAUCAAGUCAAAAGACUUAGAUGCUCUCUCCACUACUCCAUCUCCAGCACCUAGAACAGUUGUUAAUUUUUGACAGAGUCGCAGAAUGUGAUGUCUUGCUGUGCACACCCUUCCGAUAACGAGGUGCUGUCAUGAUUUGAAUAUGCUUGUCCGAAGAAGUGGCACUAUUUGGAGGUGUGACCUUAUUGGAGUGGGUGUGUCACCGUGACCAUGGGCUUAAGACCCAUGUCCUAACUUCCUAGAAGUCAGUCUUCCACCAGCAGCCUUCAGAUGAAGAUGUAGAACUCUCAGCAAUGCCUGCCCCAUGCCUGCCUGGAUGCUGCCAUGUUCCUCCCUUGAUGAUAACGAACUGAACCUCUAAACCUGUAAACCAGCCCCAAUUAAAUGUUGUCCUUAUAAGACUUGCCUUGGUCAUGGUGUCUGUUCACAGUGGUAAAACCCUAACAAGACAGGUGCCAUAUGUGGUUUUUCCUCUGCCACAUCUUCCAACGAUGAUGUUAUCUGUCAUUAAAAGCCCAGAGCAAUGAGAUCACCUCAUGGUGGACAGAUAACCACUGUAACUGUAAGCUAAACUAAAAGUUUCUUUCUUAACAGCUAAUUUUCUCAAUAUUUUAAAGAAUUAAGUAAUUAAAUUUUUUUAGAGUAGUGAACAUUGAGUAAUUAUUUUUUUUUCUUUUUUACAAUAGUGAAGAGCUGAGCGGCAGGGCCCAUCAGGAUUGGAAGACAGCGUUGGGUGCAUUGCAUCGACUUCAACAAGCUAAAAAUCUAACCAUGAGCUUAAUUGUUUCUUCCAGCCCAGCAUAAAAAGAAAGCAUGACCCUAGACGUGGAGUGAAUGGAGUGUGCAGGUUCCGACGAGUUCACUGCGGCUCCAGUGGGGAUCGGGCAGGCUCCAAGCACUAAAUAACCCUAAUGAUAUCAGGACUGGUCCUGCUUGCUCCAUCUACACACUGUUGGUUAACAGUGGACCCUCUGACUCUCAUGAGGAUGACUGGACAUGUGACAGAAGACCAGGAGUCCGGGAGGCUGCCCUUUCCUGCUUUAACUUUGUUCUGUCAGAAUUGAUAAGAUUUCGAUUUCCAGUUAAAACCCGCCAUCGGGUGUUCAGCAGGACACUGAAAGAACGCCCGGCACACUGAACCAAAAGUCAGAGGUUGAACCUACCAGCAAAGCUGGCUCUGAUGGACAAACGCUUCCUAGGGCUCCUUCCUGAUGCAGCUGCUAUCUGCAGACCUCCUGGACUGCCCUGGGAAGGGAGUGGGAGCUCCUGCCACAGAUGGGUGGAACAUCGGCAAGAAGGGUUAAAAGUGGCCAAAAAUAACAGUGCCUUCCAGAUGAGGUGACCUCAGAGCCAAGAGCAUCAUGGGGUAGAGUAUCUUGUUCUUAGUUUUAUGACCUAAAAAGUACACAGAAGAUGCAAAGAUACUACAGAGAGAAGGAACAAAGUCUGCAGGGAACAGGGAAAGGCGAUUAGCUAUCAUAUUUUUUUUAAUUGAAUUUUGUUGCGAAUGAACGCAAAAGAAAACACGGCCUUUUAAUACAUGUUUGAAGAGAGACCUAGCUAUAUAGAUAGAUAGAUGAUAGAUAAGUAGAUAGGUGAUAGAUGAUCGAUAGAUAGGAAAGUAGAUAGAUAGAAUAGAUGAUAGAUAGACAAAACAAUGCACACUAGAAGAGCAAAAGGAGAAAAAGGUAGAGACAAGACUGCCUUCCUUCGUUUGCUAUUGAAACAAACUUAAUAAAUCCUCAUUGAGAAUCAAGUAUGUGUGGUUCUAUUACCUUUCGGUACAACAUACCACCCUAAAACUUACUAAUAUAAAAACACGACCUUCACUGUAUCACAACCAGUCGUGGUUCUGAGGGUCACCUGGGAGGAGCUGGGUGGUCUCAGAGGCUUUCCUGACAUUGAGGCUGGCAGGUAGCUAAGGCUGACUUUUCUAUGGCUCCCUUUUGCACUUCUGGUGCUUGAUGCUGGUCAGCGAUUGUCGCUCCCUCAGAUGGGGGAAUGCCCGAACAGGGUCAUUCCCUGCAGUCUGAGUUGCCUUGCCAUCUCGUUGUUAUCCUUCUUGCAGCUGCUCAGUGGUCAAAAAGUGAAUGUCCCAGGACAAGGUAGAAACGUAAUCAUGGUGUAGCUGAGUUGGCUUCACCACUCACGAGGCCAGCUCAGGUUCAAGAGGUGGACACAGAGAUCUCAGAGAUGCGUCUCUGGAGUUUCAAAAUGUUACAGCACCUGUAAACAUCUUAAACCUUCCAAGACAUUUAACCAAACCAGGAUGUCAGCUGACCUGAUGCCAAUUUUCUAAGAUCAUGUGUCUAGCUGAAGCUAUAAAAAAAUCAGUAAAGGACCGGGAAUGUAGUCCAGUAGUACAGCACUUGCCCUACGUACAAUGAGCACUACCUCUGCAAAGAAAGUAACCAAGGGUAUGUUCUGUGGGAAGGAAUAAAAUAUCUACAGGCCAGGGCUAUGCGGCAGUGGAUGAGUGUAUCUAAGGAAUACGCUCGAAGAACUGUGUGCUGUGGUGCACACCUAUAAUCACAGCAUGGUGUGUGUGUGUGUGUGUGUGUGUGUGUGUGUGUGUGUGUGUGGCCAGACGGGGCCUUAUAGAGCAAAACUCUGAGUUGAAACAAACAAACAAACAAAGAAACAAAUGCAACAAACAAAACCUCCCAACCUUUGCAUAUGUAGAGAUCAUAGGCCCAAAGCCAUUAGGAAAGGCCUAUGGCCACUUCCUACCGUUGGAGAGACUUGAAAAGGCC
ensembl:lncRNA